GAUAUUAAUUUUAAAUAUAUUCAUUUCACUGUUUUGUUUGCUUGUAAUUGGAAAAUUUGUUUUGGUUUUAUGCUUGCAACGGAGCUACAAACAUAGGGAGUCUGCGUUUUACAUUUGGAUAUUUAAGUAACAUAAUAAAAAGGAAUUGGUAAACACUGGGAAGCUAAAUGGAGGGUUUUAGGCUGUACAUUUAGAGUGGUUUGACUAGUGUACCCCCAAAAUUAAUGUUCACCCAGAGCCCCAGAAUGAGACCUUAUUUGGAAAUAGGAUCUUUGCAGACGUAAUUUGCUGAGGAUCUCAAGAUGAAAUCAUCCUGAAUUUAAGGUUAGCAGUGAAUCCAAUGACUGGUGUCCUUACAAGAAGAGGAGAGGACACACAGACACACACAAAGAUGAAGACCACGUGAAGAUGAAGUCAGAGAUCGGAGUGUUGCAGCUACAACUCAAGGAACACUUGGAACCACUAAAAGAGAAACCCUUCUCCACAUUUGCAUUAAUGUCUUGAAUAAAGAUGUAGAGGGUAUACAAACUGAAAGAGAGAGCAACCAUAUUGGAUGACAAAAUCUGAAUCUCAAAGGAUCUUGACAGGCUAAAGCAAAGUGACAAU
rnacentral:lncRNA from 1 species